rnacentral:rRNA from 1 species
UACGAAGGGUGCUAGCGUUGUUCGGAAUUACUGGGCGUAAAGCGCACGUAGGCGGAUUUGUUAGUCAGGGGUGAAAUCCCGGGGCUCAACCUCGGAACUGCCUUUGAUACUGCAAGUCUAGAGUCCGGAAGAGGUGAGUGGAAUUCCUAGUGUAGAGGUGAAAUUCGUAGAUAUUAGGAAGAACACCAGUGGCGAAGGCGGCUCACUGGUCCGGUACUGACGCUGAGGUGCGAAAGCGUGGUGAGCAAACAGG